UAGAGACACAGAAGGGGCUCCUGUGGGAGACGGCGAAUGCAGGAAGUGAAGCGGCAGCCAUUUUCUCUCUCGGGUACAUUGGUGCUGCUCUGCGGUUCGCUUCCCACUGCGAGUUGCAGCGAGUCUUCGCAGCUGCACCUGCUUCCCCUGUAUGCUCCUUCCCAGCCUCUAACUUCUGGUUAGGUGUGUAUGUUUAGCCUGUGAAGAAGGACCUUGGAUCCUGCAGGAUAUCUGCACUACCAACAGCAGAGGCAACAAAAAUGGACAUGGUUUCCGGUCUUCGUGGGCUUUAGUUCAUGCUUCCAGCUUGUUCUUGCUCUCUCUCACUUUACGUCCGUUUUCUUUCUCAACUGCCCACUCUAUAGACCUGAAGCUCCAACCUCAGUCUUACAGAGACCAGCUUCCACCGUCGGGUAAAUGUGCAUCUCUGUAACAAAUUCCCUUUAUAUGUAUAUAAAGCUUCUGCUCUGUAUUUGAAAUUUGUAUACUCAUUUGAAGUCCUCCCAGCUUGUAUAUCCCAUGAGGUCAGAGAUCAUCUUCCAUUCUCUCCUGUCUAAAAUUGUAUCCGUAGCACCUACCAGGGCACCUGGCACACAGUGGACGAUGGACACCUUUCCGCUGAAUGAGUUAAUACAUACAUACAUACAUACAUACGUACACACAUUUAUAAACAGUGCAUGAAAUAAGUCACCAUAUAGGGGAAAAAAAGUCAUGUUUCUUUGGAAAGUCUAUGAAACCACCAAAGGAAAGAAACAUCACUUUCAAGAAUGAUUGCUGAAAAAGCUCAGUUUCAGGAAACUGUCCACUUGUUUGAUGUAAAUGCAGUGAGGCUACCUACCAACAGUCAAAGACCGAAGAGGAAAGAAACUUUUCAGAGCUUCCAACAAAGAUUUAUUACUGUGCAAAGCACCCACCAUCCUAAAGAAACCAAGACAUGCACCCUUCAGCAUUGUGUCCUUGACAGGCUUCGCAAAAAACGAAGGUAAUGGUAAAAGGCUAUUUGAUGGAAACACAGCCUCUUCGCCUUGGAGAAGCCUCCAUAACCACUUCAUAAGCUCUAAGACUUAGGUGUUGUUUUUAACACUCUUCCAGGGAUCACUCACCGAAAUACCGCGAGUGAAGGCCCAGAAAACCAAGAAUAAAAUGACACCUGACAACCUCGCCAGCUCAGCACAUCUGGAGGCACUAAAUGUCUGACUCAGGAAAUGUGCAUCAAACUGACGGAAUACACCAAAACAUAUGUUCAUCUUUGUGAAGAAGCUUGUGUUUUUGUUUUUACUCUGUGUUGUAAUAAACAUGAGUUCACAACAAGUUGCAAGUAUCUGUCAUCGUCCUCAUCAAAGCUGUUGGUCUGUGUCACCUCUAAGCUUACUGUUUCUUGAAUGUCAUGACAUAAUUUAAGAAUUCAGUACUACAAGGCUACAGUAAUCACAACAGCAUGGUACUGGUACCAAAACAAAGAUAUAGACCAACGGAACAGAACAGAGGCCUCAGAAGCAACACCACACAUCUACAACCAUCUGAUCUUUGACAAACCUGACAAAAACAAGCAAUGGAAAAGGAUUCCCUGUUUAAUGAACGGUGUUGAUAAAACUGGCUAGUCCUGUGCAGACAGCAGAAACUGGACCCUUCCUGACACCUAACACUGAAAUUAACUCCAGAUGGAUUAAAGACUUAAACAUAAGACCUAACACCAUCAAAACCCUAGAAGAAAACCUAGGCAAAACCAUUCAGGACAUAGGCAUAGGCAAGGACUUCAUGACCAAAACACCAAAAACAAUGGCAAAAAAAAGCCAACAUUGACAAAUGGGAUCUAAUUAAACUUCAGAGCUUCUGUACAGCAAAACAAACAAUCAUUAGAGCUAACCAACAACCAACAGAAUGGGAAAAAAUUUUUGCAAUCUACCCAACUGACAAAGGGCUAAUAACCAGAAUCUGCAAAGAACUAAAACAGAUUUACAAGAAACAAACAAACAAACCCAUUCUAAAGUGGGCAAAGAAUAUUAACAGACACUUGCGGCUAACAUAUGAAGAAAUGCUCAUCAUCACUGGUCAUUAGAAAAAUGCAAAUCAAACCACACUGAGAUACCAUCUCAUGCCAAUUAGAAGGGCAACCAUUAAAAAAUCAAGAGACAACAGAUGGUGGAGGGGAUGUAGAGAAAAAAUAGGAAUGCUUUUACACUGUUGGUGGGAGUGUAAAUUAGUUCAACCAUUGUGGAAGACAGUGUGGUGAUUCCUCAAGGAUCUAGAAAUAGAAAUUCCGUUUGACCCAGCAAUCCCAUUACUGGGUAUAUACCCAAAGGACUAUAAAUCAUUCUAUUAUAAAGACACAUGCACAUGUUAUGUUUGUUUCAGCACUGUUUACAAGAGCAAAGACCUGGAACCAACCCAAAUGCCCAUCAAUGAUAGACUAGACAAUGAAAAUGUGGCACAUAUACACCACGGAAUACUGUGCAGCCAUAAAAAAUGAUGAGUUUGUGUCCUUGCAGGAACAUGGAUGAAUCUGGAAACCAGCAUUCUCCACAAACUGACGCAAGAACAGAAAACCCAACACUGCAUGUUCUCACUCAUAGGCAGGUGUUAACAAUGAGAAUACAUGGAUAUAGGGAGGGGAGCAUCACACACU